GCAGCGACGUGUGCGCAGUGUCUGUCUGUGAUUCGGGGGGGAAGCCGCUUGCGUCUUGCAUUCUGGCUGCUCCCAUCACACCGAUCCUGCGGCCGCAGAUAAACCUGAGGUCCAUAGUACUGGUCUAGCGACGUCCCUUGGACAAUCCCAACGCAGGCCGGCCUCCGACCCCUCUGACACUC
rnacentral:snoRNA from 1 species